CCCGCUCAGAAACUCAAAUGAAUUGACGGGGCCCGCACAAGCGGUGGAGCAUGUGGUUUAAUUCGAUGCAACGCGAAGAACCUUACCAGGUCUUGACAUCCACGGAACUUUCCAGAGAUGGAUUGGUGCCUUCGGGAACCGUGAGACAGGUGCUGCAUGGCUGUCGUCAGCUCGUGUCGUGAGAUGUUGGGUUAAGUCCCGCAACGAGCGCAACCCUUGUCAUUAGUUGCUACAUUUAGUUGGGCACUCUAAUGAGACUGCCGGUGACAAACCGGAGGAAGGUGGGGAUGACGUCAAGUCCUCAUGGCCCUUAUGGGUAGGGCUUCACACGUAAUACAAUGGCGCGUACAGAGGGUUGCCAAGCCGCGAGGUAGAGCCAAUCCCAGAAAGCGCGUCGUAGUCCGGAUCGCAGUCUGCAACUCGACUGCGUGAAGUCGGAAUCGCUAGUAAUCGCGGAUCAGCAUGUCGCGGUGAAUACGUUCCCGGGUCUU
rnacentral:rRNA from 1 species